rnacentral:rRNA from 1 species
AGUGAACGCUGGCGGUAGGCCUAACACAUGCAAGUCGAACGGCAGCACAGUAAGAGCUUGCUCUUACGGGUGGCGAGUGGCGGACGGGUGAGGAAUACAUCGGAAUCUACUUUUUCGUGGGGGAUAACGUAGGGAAACUUACGCUAAUACCGCAUACGACCUACGGGUGAAAGCAGGGGAUCUUCGGACCUUGCGCGAUUGAAUGAGCCGACGUCGGAUUAGCUAGUUGGCGGGGUAAAGGCCCACCAAGGCGACGAUCCGUAGCUGGUCUGAGAGGAUGAUCAGCCACACUGGAACUGAGACACGGUCCAGACUCCCACGGGAGGCAGCAGUGGGGAAUAUUGGACAAUGGGCGCAAGCCUGAUCCAGCCAUACCGCGUGGGUGAAGAAGGCCUUCGGGUUGUAAAGCCCUUUUGUUGGGAAAGAAAAGCAGCAGGUUAAUACCCCGCUGUUCUGACGGUACCCAAAGAAUAAGCACCGGCUAACUUCGUG